UCUUAUUUCCAACGUAUUUGAUUGUGCAAACGCCUCAAAAUUAGAGGGGUUGCCAUUAUCUAGUUACCUUUACAAGUUAGAGUUCACACCAUGGGUUAUGGUGUGGUGAUGUCUUGAAUUGUGGCCGUGGAGGAAAUUAAAAUCAGAUUCGGGGCACGAAGAGACACGCCACGUGCACAGUAACAAUGCCAUGCCACGACACAUGUCUAUAGUUUAACUAGGGUCUAUGUGGGGGACCAUUAAACUUGUGUUCGAUCAUUUUAGUGUAGUUACUAAAACCCACUUUUGGGUUAGGUGGUGACCUUUCUAUUGAGAUAAAAGAUAUGUGUAAUUAUGUUGAUUGGAUUUGUUUUUUUUUUUUUUUCCGUAAAGAUUUGCAAGACGAUCUUUGGGUGAAACUAUUCGUAUCUCGUGCAUGGGGUGAUGUUGAGUUGUGAUUGGUGCCACAAAGGCUGGUGUUAGAAUAGGGUGUACAUGUGUAUUGUUGUUUGAGAGAUUCGAAGGUUAGGAUCAAAGAUUGAGAAUAUCAUAGUGAAGAUUAUUUAGAUAACCGUCCGUGGUUACGUUCUCAGGUGGAAAGUUGACCAGAAUCAGUAGUAACUAUCAUAUGUCGUGUCAUUUUAAUUACUUGGAUCCAAUACAUAGCUUAGUCAUCAAAGCGUACAUUCCCACUCACGAUAAUAGAUGCUCAAAUGCCAUUAUGAGAUGAUUCUAUAGAACGGUUCCGUUCUUUUUUGUUUGUUCAAACGUUUCUAUAUAUGAACAGAUAGAAAAGAAAUUAAAAAUGCAUAUUGUUCUUUUCUUAUUAGAGCAAAUACAUUAAUAAAAAAAUUGUCAACUUCCAUCUCAUAUUCGGUGGAUUUGAUGGGUAAGAAGAGAGUAGUACAUGUAUUAAACGACGUGAUAGAAAAGAAAAAAAGAAGAUAAAAAAGAGAUAAAGAAAGAAAUAUUAAUUUAUUAUAACUCUAAAUUAAUAUUUGGUAAAAGAAAAUUCUAUAAAUGUUAAUUGUUAAUUUAUUAAUUUUUCU
rnacentral:lncRNA from 1 species